AUACAGCUCAGAUUGAACGCUGGCGGCAGGCCUAACACAUGCAAGUCGAGCGGAUGAAGGGAGCUUGCUCCUGGAUUCAGCGGCGGACGGGUGAGUAAUGCCUAGGAAUCUGCCUGGUAGUGGGGGAUAACGUCCGGAAACGGGCGCUAAUACCGCAUACGUCCUGAGGGAGAAAGUGGGGGAUCUUCGGACCUCACGCUAUCAGAUGAGCCUAGGUCGGAUUAGCUAGUUGGUGGGGUAAAGGCCUACCAAGGCGACGAUCCGUAACUGGUCUGAGAGGAUGAUCAGUCACACUGGAACUGAGACACGGUCCAGACUCCUACGGGAGGCAGCAGUGGGGAAUAUUGGACAAUGGGCGAAAGCCUGAUCCAGCCAUGCCGCGUGUGUGAAGAAGGUCUUCGGAUUGUAAAGCACUUUAAGUUGGGAGGAAGGGCAGUAAGUUAAUACCUUGCUGUUUUGACGUUACCAACAGAAUAAGCACCGGCUAACUUCGUGCCAGCAGCCGCGGUAAUACGAAGGGUGCAAGCGUUAAUCGGAAUUACUGGGCGUAAAGCGCGCGUAGGUGGUUCAGCAAGUUGGAUGUGAAAUCCCCGGGCUCAACCUGGGAACUGCAUCCAAAACUACUGAGCUAGAGUACGGUAGAGGGUGGUGGAAUUUCCUGUGUAGCGGUGAAAUGCGUAGAUAUAGGAAGGAACACCAGUGGCGAAGGCGACCACCUGGACUGAUACUGACACUGAGGUGCGAAAGCGUGGGGAG
rnacentral:rRNA from 1 species